rnacentral:rRNA from 1 species
GACAGAGGGUGCAAACGUUGUUCGGAAUUACUGGGCGUAAAGCGCGUGUAGGCAGCCGUGCAAGUUGGGUGUGAAAGCCCUGGGCUCAACCUAGGAAGUGCACUCAAAACUGCAAGGCUGGAGUCCUGGAGAGGAAGGCGGAAUUCUCGGUGUAGAGGUGAAAUUCGUAGAUAUCGAGAGGAACACCGGUGGCGAAGGCGGCCUUCUGGACAGUGACUGACGCUGAGACGCGAAAGCGUGGGGAGCAAACAGG